UCCCCGCUGUGGAAGGAUGUCUGGGAGGGCAGGUGACCCUGUCGCCUGUUUGCUUCACAUCCGUUCCCCUUCGUGUGGCAGAUCUCCCUGCAGGAGUGGAAAGGGUGGCAGUGCUGCCUUUCAGGGCCAGGGAAAAGCGUAGGAACCCAAACAGCCAAGUAGUGCAAGCAACCUCCAUGUCCAUCAACAAAUGAAUGCAUAAAGAGUCCGGGCCAUCACCACACCACGGAGUACUACUCAGCCAUGAAAAAGAGGAAACCCGGUCAUUAGUGACAGCAUGGAUGAGCCCAGAGGACAUUAUGUUCCAUGAGCAGCAGGGCAGUGUGCAAGGCGCCCACCAGCUGACUGCUGUCCCUGGAGCACGUCCUCACGGAUAAGAGUAGCCGGUGGUCACUUUGGAGAGCAGUGGUCCUGCCGGGGAGAACAGGACCACAGGCAGGAAGUUUCACUGAGGACAGAGCCGGGCAGUGUCUGGAGCCUGAGGGGCGUGGUGGCCGGGCGUCAGCGAGCUCCGGAAACAGGAAGGCCGAUGCCAGCAUGCCACUGAGAAGGUCAUCCAAGUCCAGCUCAAGGUCAUCAAAACCCACGGUUGCUACAGUCAUAGAAGAGAACCCCAAGCAGUGGAUUAGUUCUGCCUCCUUCCGCCAAGCGAGUAA